rnacentral:rRNA from 1 species
UGUCUAGGCGGCCAUAUUAGUCUCUCGUUAAAUCUGUGGGCUCAACCUGCAGCCGGCGAGGGAAACGGUAUGGCUCGAGGGCGUAAGAGGUGCACGGAACUCAUGGUGGAGGGGUGAAAUCCGUUGAUAUCAUGGGGAACACCAAAGGCGAAGGCAGUGCACUGGUACGUUCCUGACGCUCAAACACGAAAGCCAGGGUAGCGAACG